CCGUCAAUUCAUUUGAGUUUUAAUCUUGCGACCGUACUCCCCAGGCGGUCAACUUCACGCGUUAGCUUCGUUACUAAAGGAUUUCACUCCUCCAACAACUAGUUGACAUCGUUUAGGGCGUGGACUACCAGGGUAUCUAAUCCUGUUUGCUCCCCACGCUUUCGUGCAUGAGCGUCAGUGUCGACCCAGGGGGCUGCCUUCGCCAUCGGUAUUCCUCCACAUCUCUACGCAUUUCACUGCUACACGUGGAAUUCUACCCCCCUCUGCCGCACUCUAGCCUUCCAGUUCCAAAUGCAGUUCCCAGGUUAAGCCCGGGGAUUUCACAUCUGGCUUAAAAAGCCGCCUGCGCACGCUUUACGCCCAGUAAUUCCGAUUAACGCUCGCACCCUACGUAUUACCG
rnacentral:misc_RNA from 1 species